AUAUCCGGGUUCAGGUAGCACCAAGGAGCAGCUGCUCAUCUCAAAUGAAGACGCUGGAGGACUCAGAGCCCCAAAGCAGACAUGAGAACGUGGGGGGAUGCCCUGGCUGAGACCCUCUUAGACACGACAAGCCUUUAGUAUGUAGAACGUGUUCCCUGCUAUCCACAAGCACGAAACUCUAUACAGACUUGACUUUCUCUCUAAUGGAGUUCCCCUGUAGAUGACAUCGAUUCUCUGAAAGAAAUCUGCUCACAAAAUCUUUCCAGUUGUAUUCUGCAGAUCUCAACAACUGAGCUGAACACAACUCCACAGACAUUUGUAAACUGCAGAAGGGAAAUCAAAUUUUUCAGUACUGCAAGUGGAAAAUAAACAAAAAAGAAGAAAAGGAGAAUUUCUUAGUAAAAUCUUCUACCAAACAUUCCCUUAAACAACUCUGUAUUCUCUGCUGAUUGCCCUCUGUAAAGUCAUUUCGAGUGGUGUUAAAAAAAUGCAAACAAUUUUAAAAUGUUAUGUUUUGUUACAGUAGAGCCACGUGUUCUAUCACCUGCUCUUUCCCCUCAAAAUGGCUGAAUUAAUUUUCUCUGAAGUCCAAAGAAGAGCUUGGGAACAGCUAGAGCAAGUGGAAACGGGAUAAUCUGAACAAACAAAACUGGCUGUUCCAAAGCUCCUGCUUCACCAGGCACUAAUUGGGGUGCUGAGAUGUAGAGGCGAGCUCUGGUCCCACACAAGGGCAGCGGUACAUCUGUGAAUAGGCUGGUUUGCAACUGGCUCGUCCAUACAACCAGUUCAUUUUCUAAAUGGAAACAAAUCCAAAUGCACAAACCCACUGCCAUCCCAACGUACUGCUGACUUUGCUGUGUGGUUGAACAGAACUGACUUUGCUUGAAAAGGAACUUACGGGUUCUGUGUCACCUGAUUCUAAAAAUAAAACACUUCCAUUACUGUUGGGCAUUCUUCAAAAAACUUUGGUAUCUGAGUAAUAGUCAUCUUCAGGCAACACAUUAGCUCACUGAAAUUUAGAAAAAAAUAACAUUUACUGAAAUAGAAUUGAUCCACUGGCAUAGUUAGUGGGCACAUAAUGGCUCUGACCUAAAGAGAAGUUUCUGGAACACCUCUAAGUCUUAAAAGAUUGGCCUUGCAAAAUCCAAGAUCCCUUGGACAAAUCAGCUCGGGAAACGUUGCAUGCCACAGCUCCCUUUGGAGAUUCACAAUGUACAUUAGAAUAAGAAAGGCUCUGAGAAGUCCUAUAAUUAUAAAAUCUGUUUAGCUCUGUAUAGCCCAUCCCUUACUUAAUGGGCUGUGUACCAUCUUGAAUGGUAGUUAUAAAUGGUUCUAGACUGCUUCCAUCUAAAUUCUCUAGAACUGUGACGAUUUUUGAGCUUGGUCGUUCUGGCUCUGUGAUGACACCGGUCUCACAUAAUCUUCUUUGUUUUUGGGUUUUUUUGUUUGUUUAUUUUUUGUUUUUGAGACAGGGUCUUGCUCUGUCACCCAGGCUGGAGUGCAGUGGCAUGAUCCCGGCUCACUGCAACCUCCACUUCCUGGGUUCAAGGUCAGCCUCCCGAGGAGCUGGGAUUACAGGCAUGCGUCACCAUGCACAGCUAAUGUUUGUAUUUUUAGUCGAGACAAGGUUUCACCAUGUUGGCCAGGCUGGUCUCAAACUCCUGACCUCAAGUGAUCCGCCUAUCUCAGCCUCCUGAAAUGCUGGGAUUACUGGCAUCAGCCACCACACCUGGCCUUACUGUCCUCUUCUCCACAAGGGUGCUUUUCAGGCCCGUGCCUAAUUGCUGCCUUGCUCAUCAGUGCCCCCAACUGGAGGACUGUUUCUUUGGCCUGGUCCCUAAAAAAAGGAUAUUUCCCUUUGUCUAAAAAAAAUUAUGUACUGCACUAAAUAUCGAGGGUUAAUUGUGAUACAUAGAUAAAAGUUAUUUCCUAACCCGCUAACUCCUGACUCCAUGGCCUCAAAGAAGGGACUCUUAGGGACUUUCACCCUCUUAGCUUACAUCGUAGAUGAGAUAGCCAGAUUUUUUUUCUUUAAUUUCCUAACAAGCCCAAUCCUAGAGGUCUGGUAUAAUAAACAUAAUCUUCCCUGGACUUGUUCCUGUGUUCCUAGUUAUGAAAUACAGUGGUUUGUACUGCCCCUUGGCUGGGACUCAGGGGAAGGUGCGGGGAAGAAAGGCUUAAGAAAGGAGACGGGGCUUGGGAGGAAUGGGGGUCACUGGUCUCUAAACACAGCACCUAUCAGCUCUUUGGAUUACUGGGGGAGCUUGAUAAGGCCCAGACUGUGAGGGCAAUUCCUAUCCCAGAUAGUUUAGUGGCUUUCAGAAACAUACCUCAUUCUCCCCAUGGCCACUCCUGGGCAGAUAACCCGGGUUCACCUGGGGUGACUGAUGACAGACUCUCAGCUGUGAGCAGCCUUUCCUCUCUUUCUUGGCUCUUCUAAACCAGCCCUGAGUAAUCUCUCUCUCAUAGUGGCUCAAUACGAUUUGAGGUUCUCAUGAAAGAGUCAUUUCAUCCUCCCUGGUCUGUUGCAAUUUUAUUUUUCCACCUCUCUCAUCUAAAUAAUUUAAAAUGUUGGGUAACAUUGACAACCCAUCUGCCUUUGCUUCUGUCAUUCUAACUAACACAAAGGUGCAUCCCAUUUCUCCUCUUUUGUGGAUUCUUAUUAAGAGAGAUGCCGGUGGAGAGGGGUGAUCACGGUCGCAAAAUAUAUACGCCAACUGUAUUACUCUAGGUCCCUGCUAUCCAUUUCCUGUAACUUAAGUUUUCAAAUUCCUACAAACAAGAAGAAAAUCCUUUGUUCUUCAUUAGUACCAAGGCUGAAUUGAUACUGCUGAUUUAUGCUCAUCUGAAAGCGCAGACUUUUUUUUUUUUUUAGCUCUAGAAAAACAAAAUCAACUCCUUUGGAAGGCAGCCAGUCUCCUCAGGCACCUUUCUUUGCAGACUUUACCAACUUCAGAAGAACCCACCAGUUUGGAAGAACUGGUUGAAUGGUCUGUCCUCUGUGAAACUGUCAUUGUGUUGUUGUUUACUGUAUAAUUAAGUGUUUUUUUUUUCCCAUAAGCAAGCUAAAGAUGUUUUUCCCACUUCCUGGGCAAAUGGCAUUUCCACAUAAUUCUAAACACACGCAGUCACUCACAGUGAUGAAAAAGCUCUUAUGUCUUGAUAAUUGUGAUAGUGCUGAAGCCCUAGAUGACUCUAAAUAGGUUUCUUUGCCUGGGCUUUGUCACGAAUGAGGGCAGCAUGAGGUCUGAGUAAUAGGCUAAACAGUCAGAUAUAAGACCUAGGGGAUCCUAGUAUAGACAUCCUCGUGCUCUGGACUAAUGCUUUCCAAGAAGAGACAUUGGUUUGGAGGUUUCUGAGCCCUCCGGGCUGCCUCUCUGAGGAAAGGAAGGGCACCGUGAUCCUAACUGGGGCUCUGACCUUGGGGAAGUUUUGCUUUGAGGCACCGAACAGGAACUAUGGAGCUUGGGAAAGACAGCAAGAAGAGGUAUUUAGGAUUAAAGGAUCAGGGGAUAAAGAGCACAAUUCAAAAGCAUUUAAAACAGGAAAAAAGACUAAGGCAACUGAAAGCAUCUGUCAUAAAUCCUGGGUGCAGACUCUGUAGUCAGAGUCAAGGGUGGGUUCUGCCACCAGGGCUGUCGUGGACAGAGAGCGUGAGAACACGGCUGAAUCUGAGUCAAGAGGUGGCAGCUUCAAACCGCACACUGUGGGCCCGGAGGACUGCACUAGAGCCAGAGAGAAAAAUCCGGAUCCCCUUGUCACCAGGGAGAUGGAAAGAAAAGCUGUCCUAUAUUUGGGAUGGAAAAUAAAAGUGAACUAGCCAGGAACAAUGUGACCUCCUCACAGAGAAUUAAAUCUAGACCUUGACCUGACAUUGAAAACACCACGACCUGCCCUCCAUCCAUGUGUCCAGGUGGCCAGGAUCCACCUCCAUCACUUGCCCACUGGUCCUGGAAGGAGCAUACUAUGGGCCGAACUGUGUCUCCCCCAAAUUCCUAUGUUGAAGCUGUAAUCCCCAGUGCAAUGGUGUUUGGAGAUGGGAUUUUGGGACUAAUCAGGUAGGGAUGAGGUCACGAGGGUGGGGCCCUCAUGAUGGGAUUAGUGCCCUUCAAAGAUGAGACCAGAGAACUUGCUCUGUCUCUGCCAUGUGAGGGCAUAGCAAGAAGAUGGCCACGUGCUUACCAGGAAGACAGCCCUCACCAGGAACCCAGUCGCACUUUCAGCUUCUGCAACUGUGAGAAAUAAAUGUCUGCUGCUCAAGCCCCCAAGUCUGUGGUGUUUCAUUAGAGCAACAUGAGCUAACACAGAACAGGCCUCUGCAGGGGGAGUUGUACUGUCCCUUCAGGUCCAGCCCAAAUGCGACCUUCUCUGAGAAACCUCCUCAUAUUUCUCCCUGGCAGAAUCCCUCUCUCCUUCCUACAAUCCUCUGUCUGCACUUCAGCUCUAACACUUACAUGCAACACAGUUCUUCCUUAAAAUGCUGACAGUUAUGUAUUCAUCUGCUACCACUUAAUUUUCCCGAACUCUGCCU
rnacentral:lncRNA from 1 species